rnacentral:piRNA from 1 species
UUCUCUUCAAAUCCUUAAUAC